CUGCCAUAUCACUUUAAAAACACUGGUUCUCGUACGAUCACCGGUUAAGCAACGUUGAGCCUGGUCAUUACCUAGAUGGGUGACCGCUUGGGAAUACCAAAUGCUA